rnacentral:rRNA from 1 species
GGGGGGGGCAAGCGUUGUUCGGAAUUACUGGGCGUAAAGGGCGCGUAGGCGGUUCGCUAAGUUGGAUGUGAAAACUCUGGGCUCAACCCAGAGCCUGCAUCCAAAACUGGCGGGCUAGAGUUCUGGAGGGGGUAGCGGAAUUCCUGGUGUAGCGGUGAAAUGCGUAGAUAUCAGGAGGAACACCGGUGGCGAAGGCGGCUACCUGGACAGAAACUGACGCUGAGGCGCGAAAGCUAGGGGAGCAAACAGGAUUAGAUACCCUGGUAGUCCUAGCCCUAAACGAUGGAUACUUGGUGUGACGGGGAUUGAAUCCCGUCGUGCCGAAGCUAACGCAUUAAGUAUCCCGCCUGGGGAGUACGGUCGCAAGGCUGAA